GGGCCGUUAGCUCAGCUGGAUUAGAGCGCUACAUUUGCAAUGUAGAGGUCGCCGGUUCAAUCCCGGCACGGUCCA
rnacentral:tRNA from 1 species